ACGGGGUGCAGCAGGCGCGAAAACUUUGCAAUGCACGGAAGUGUGACAGGGCUAUCCCGAGUGCCAUCCGCUGAGGAAGGCUUUUACCCAGUUUAGAAAGCUGGGGGAAUAAGGAGAGGGCAAGUCUGGUGUCAGCCGCCGCGGUAAUACCAGCUCUCCGAGUGGUGUGGAUGUUUAUUGGGCCUAAAGCAUCCGUAGCUGGCUGAGUUAGUCCCCUGUUAAAUCCACCGAAUUAAUCGUUGGUGUGCGGGGGAUACUGCUUGGCUAGGGGACGGGAGAGGCAGACGGUAUUUUCGGGGUAGGGGUGAAAUCCUAUAAUCCCGGGAAGACCACCAGUGGCGAAGGCUGUCUGCUAGAACGCGCCCGACGGUGAGGGAUGAAAGCUGGGGGAGCGAACCGGAUUAGAUACUCGGGUAGUCCCAGCUGUAAACGAUGCACGCUAGGUGUUGGGUCGGCCACGCGCCGCCCCAGUGCCGCAGGGAAGCCGUUAAGCGUGCCGCCUGGGGAGUACGGCCGCAAGGCUGAAACUUAAAGGAAUUGGCGGGGGAGCAC
rnacentral:rRNA from 1 species